UUAUCGACUGAAUGCAGCGUUUAAUAUAUACAUACAUAUAUAUUAUAUACAAUUUAUCCACAAGCCACACGCGUCCAUCGGCAAAAGAAUGCAACGUGCUGCCCCAGAUCACAUAAUUCCAAGUGUUUGACCCAAUGUGUGUGUGAGUUUGCAACAGCCAGAGAAAGAGGAUAGAGAGAGAGAGUGCGCCGGAGCCAGAGACAGAGCUGGAGUUGCUGCUGAAGUUGGAGUGGAAGUGGCGCUGCAGCCAAAUGAUGCCCUACAAUGUGCGCUCCGCCGGUGGCGGCAGCAUCGGUGGCAUUCUGCGCAAGACUGGAGCCGCUGCAGUUGCUCCCGGCGGAAUGUCUGCGGGGGCCAGCAACGGCAACGGUGCGGCGACACUGGACGCACGCCAGCCGCCCCUGGAGCUGCUCGUCUUCGGCUACGCGUGCAAGAUAUUCCGGGAUGACGAGAAGGCCCGCGAACUGGACCACGGCAAGCAGCUGAUACCCUGGAUGGGCGAUGUAAAUCUCAAGAUAGACAGAUACGACGUGCGUGGCGCUCUUUGCGAUCUGGCCCCUUACGAAGCGCCACCUGGGGGCUACGGCAACCGCCUGGAAUACCUUAGCGCCGAGGAGCAGCGCGCCGAGCAGCUGUGCGAGGAGGAGCGCUAUCUAUUCCUUUACAACAACGAGGAGGAGCUCCGUCUGCAGCAAGGUAAGUCUGCCCUGCCUAGAGUCUCGAAGGCGUCUUGUCUUAUAAAACAAAAAAAAUUUCAUGUAGUAUCAAAAAACCAUUCGAGAAUACCCGAAAAAGGUAAAUUCAGACAAAAGCCAAUCAAGAUACCGAAACCCCACAAAAAUAUCCAAAUAUAGAAACAAAUAUAGAACCUAAGCCAGAAAAACCAAUCCAAACUCGAAUAAGAAUAUGAAAAGAGAGAGCAUCCGUCGUUGCUGUUGCUGCUCCGCUGCCCGUCGCCCGCGCAGAGGAGGACCUCAAGCGGCUGCAGCAGGAGACCUCCGGCGGAAACUACAGCCAGGUGGGCUUCCAGUACGAUGGCCAGGGCGUUGCG
rnacentral:misc_RNA from 1 species